UACGGAGGGUGCAAGCGUUAUCCGGAUUCACUGGGUUUAAAGGGUGCGUAGGAGGGCAGGUAAGUCAGUGGUGAAAUCUCCGAGCUUAACUUGGAAACUGCCGUUGAUACUAUCUGUCUUGAAUACCGUGGAGGUGAGCGGAAUAUGUCAUGUAGCGGUGAAAUGCUUAGAUAUGACAUAGAACACCAAUUGCGAAGGCAGCUCACUACACGAAUAUUGACUCUGAGGCACGAAAGCGUGGGGAUCAAACAGG
rnacentral:rRNA from 1 species